ensembl:lncRNA
CUGCUUCAUUCUGCAUUCCAAGGCCAAAUAUGCCUGUUACUCCAGGUGUUUCUUUUUCACUCAUAUUAUUCAAUUUUUAAUCAGUAAGGACCUACUGUAUAGCAUAGAGAAUGAUGCUCAAUAUUCUAUAAUAACCUAAAUGGUAAAGAAGAAGUGGUGCAUAAAUGCAAUGGAACAGUACUCAGCCAUUAAGAAGAAUGAAAUAAUGCCGUUUUCAAAAACAUGGAUGGACCCACAGAUUGUCACACUGAGUAAAUGUCUCCAAGUUGAAAGGGACUUCAGGUAAAGAUCCCAGUGCCUGAGGACCCAGCAGCUCCUGUUUGCCUGAAAUGUCAUGCUGGAGGCAGCAUUUAAUUCAGAUGAGAAGUGACACCCACAUCCUGAUGCCUCAGCUGCCAGCAAAGGGCCAGUGACAACUUCCAUUACACAGAAGGAUUUCCCUACCAUUUAGGUCACCACAGAGCAUUCAGCAGAGUUCCCUGCGCUAUAAAGAAGCGAAAUCUAUGUGGAAGGCACACAACAUGAAGAUAGAACGUACGUGUUGAAAUCCUUUCUCCAUCUCCUA